rnacentral:rRNA from 1 species
GUGUCAGCCGCCGCGGUAAGACGGAGGGGGCAAGCGUUGUUCGGAAUCACUGGGCGUAAAGGGCGCGUAGGCGGCCAGGUAAGUUAGAAGUGAAAUCCUAGGGCUUAACCUUAGAACUGCUUUUAAUACUGCUUGGCUUGAGAUCGAAAGAGGGUAGCGGAAUUCCUAGUGUAGAGGUGAAAUUCGUAGAUAUUAGGAGGAACACCAGUUGCGAAGGCGGCUACCUGGUUCGAUACUGACGCUGAGGCGCGAAAGCGUGGGGAGCAAACAGGAUUAGAUACCCUAGUAGUCC